UUGGAGGGCAAGUCUGGUGCCAGCAGCCGCGGUAAUUCCAGCUCCAAUAGCGUAUAUUAAAGUUGUUGCAGUUAAAAAGCUCGUAGUUGAAUUUCGGGGUCAGUAGGUUGGUCAUGCCACUGGUAUGUACUGGUCUCACUGAUUCCUCCUUCCUGAUGAGCUGUAAUGCCAUUAAUUUGGUGUUGCGGGGAAUCUGGACUGUUACUUUGAAAAAAUUAGAGUGUUUAAAGCAGGCUAACGCCUGAAUACAUUAGCAUGGAAUAAUAAAAUAGGACGUGCGGUUCUAUUUUGUUGGUUUCUAGAGUCGCCGUAAUGAUUAAUAGGGAUAGUUGGGGGCAUUGGUAUUGAGUCGCUAGAGGUGAAAUUCUCGGAUUGACUCAAGACCAACUAUUGCGAAAGCAUUUGCCAAGGAUGUUUUCAUUAAUCAAGAACGAAGGUUAGGGGAUCGAAAACGAUUAGAUACCGUUGUAGUCUUAACAGUAAACUAUGCCGACUAGGGAUCGGACGACCUCAAUUAUUAUGUGUCAUUCGGCGCCUUACGGGAA
rnacentral:rRNA from 1 species